rnacentral:lncRNA from 1 species
GUUACCCUCAGGCCCUCCUCAAAGAAGUGUGGUGUCAUAACGUCAACCUCACUGCUUACGAUUCCCAGGACCAUGACAGAGAUGGGAAAUUUUGUGUGCAUGAUAGUAGGCAUGUCAGAGGCAUUCUGGCAUAUCCAUCAAUCGUUCUGGCAAUUCACUUUCCUGUCCUGGAUGAAAUUAACAACACUAUCAUGUUUGAUGUCGUUAAGCAGAGUCUGGACCUUCAUUUUCUGAUCGAUCUUGUUCUUUUCAGUCAACAGUUUUCAGUUCCUGAGGACAAAAGAUUUGUACUGAAAUCCUUCUACAUUGCCAGACUGAUUGUUGACCUCACCAAGCCAAGUCAGUCAUGCUCCACCCUGGAUUGUGAUCGAUCUUCUCCUUCAAGUCAGAGAAAAAUUCGUCACUCCUUUUGCAGUCAGAUCACUUUGUGUUUGGCUUGUUCAAGAGUAAGUUCCUCAUGCUAGACUCCUUGAUUCUCUUGGUUUCUUGUAGCCAAAUCAUGCAAUGAUUUCCUUCAGCAUUUUUCCCACAUGAAGUGAUUCAAUAAUGUCUACCCUCUGAUCAUAUUCACAACUUGUUGGAAAAGAAGCUGCUAUUUUUUCAAUUA